rnacentral:rRNA from 1 species
AGAACGAACGCUGGCGGCAGGCUUAACACAUGCAAGUCGAGCGCCCCGCAAGGGGAGCGGCAGACGGGUGAGUAACGCGUGGGAACAUACCCUCCGGUUCGGAAUAGCUCAGGGAAACUUGGAUUAAUACCGGAUACGGCCUAGCGGCGAAAGAUUCAUCGCCGGAGGAUUGGCCCGCGUUCGAUUAGCUAGUUGGUGAGGUAACGGCUCACCAAGGCGACGAUCGAUAGCUGGUCUGAGAGGAUGAUCAGCCACAUUGGGACUGAGACACGGCCCAAACUCCUACGGGAGGCAGCAGUGGGGAAUAUUGGACAAUGGGCGCAAGCCUGAUCCAGCCAUGCCGCGUGAGUGAUGACGGCCUUAGGGUUGUAAAGCUCUUUUGUGCGGGAAGAUAAUGACGGUACCGCAAGAAUAAGCCCGGCUAACUUCGUGCCAGCAGCCGC